rnacentral:rRNA from 1 species
UACGUAGGGUGCGAGCGUUUAAUCGGAAUUACUGGGCGUAAAGCGUGCGCAGGCGGUUCGUUAAGUCAGCUGUGAAAGCCCCGGGCUCAACCUGGGAACGGCGGUUGAAACUGGCGAACUAGAAUCUGGCAGAGGGGGGUGGAAUUCCACGUGUAGCAGUGAAAUGCGUAGAGAUGUGGAGGAACACCGAUGGCGAAGGCAGCCCCCUGGGCUGAGAUUGACGCUCAGGCACGAAAGCGUGGGGAGCAAACAGG